rnacentral:rRNA from 1 species
UACGUAGGUGGCAAGCGUUGUCCGGAUUUACUGGGCGUAAAGAGCGCGCAGGCGGUUGUGCAAGUCGCGUGUGAAAGCCCCCGGCUCAACUGGGGAGGGUCACGCGAUACUGAUCGACUCGAAGGCAGGAGAGGGUAGUGGAAUUCCCGGUGUAGUGGUGAAAUGCGUAGAUAUCUGGAGGAACACCGGUGGCGAAGGCGGCAUUCUGGACCGAAACUGACGCUGAGGCGCGAAAGCCAGGGGAGCAAACGGG